rnacentral:lncRNA from 1 species
UUUAGCUAUGACUUUAUUUGGGUUGAAUACAUGGAUUUUUUUUUUCAUGUCAUCUUUCUAAUCUUAAAGUAGAAAUGUAUUUACAUUGUUUAUAUACAAAUUGACAAUUAGAGGUGGGACACAUAAGAGUAAACUCUAGCGUGGCCCUGGAAAGUUACAUUGAGAAUUAAGAUUUCCUGAGAAUAAUCAACAGCCAUAUAACAGUAUCUCUAAAAAUUCUCAGAAGACAGCUUCUUCCAUGUGUUAUGAUCUGCAAUGUUUGGUGGUUUCAAAAUCUCCAGAUGUUUGGGUAGGGUGACUCCUUUUCUGGGUACAGGUCCAAAAAGAAGAGACGGCCUGGUUUUUAUUUCUAAGAAUGAUGCCACAGGUCAGUGUUGCCUGAAGUGGAGCAUGCCGGGAAGAAGCGCCAGAAUGGCCUUUGAUACACCGGGUACGCUAGAGGCUCAGUUGCAGUCAUGAUGGAUUAUUGACAAACUGUGUUUCUGUGAUGCGUUGUUUUGAAAGCAUAUGUUUACUCUGAUGAGGCUCUGUUCCAAGUUUGUGUCAAUGUUCAGUGCACUUGUUUUAUUUACGUAUAUUAUCCUUGUCCCAGAGAUUCCUAACCACAAGACACAAGGCACAACUUUGUUAGUCAUGCUUCCCUCCCACAAAAUCCAUGUUGAAUAGUUAUGAUUCUGAACUCAUUGCGGGUCCUUGAAAUAAAUUUUUUAAAAAUUACGAAAAAUAAAGGGAGUUCCCGUCAUGCCUGAGCAGUAAUGAAUUGACUAGUAUUCAUGAGGACGCAGGUUCGAUCCCUGGCCUUGCUUAGUGGGUUAGGGAUCCAAUGUUGCCGUGAACUGUGGUGUAGUUCACAGACACGGCUCAGAUUCUGCGUUCCUAUGACUGUGGUGUAGGCUGGCAACUAAAGGCAUGAUUUGACCCCUAGCCUGGAAACCUCCAUAUGCCAUGGGUUUGGCCCUAAAAAGAUAAAAACAAAAAACAAACAAACAAAAAAACAACCCACCACAACAACAAGACUCCUAGGAAGUCCCUUAGGGCCCAACAGGUUAAGGAUCCAGUAUUGCCACAGCUGUGGUACAGAUGUGGGUUCGAUCCCUGGCCUGAGAACUUGCACAUGGCUCGGUUGUAGCAAAAAAUGUAUAUAUAAAAAUAAAAAAUAAAGUCUGUAUUAAGGCAGCCAGCCUUCAAGAUGGCCCCCAGAGAUUCCCCACUUCCUGGAGGUCACCCCCUGGUAUAGCCCCCUUCCCACGGCACCAGCGUUGUUCUCUGGGACCAACAGAAUAUGGCAGAAGUCCUGGAGUGUGACUUCUGAAGCAAAGCCACUUAAAACACAGCUGCCGCCACUUUGCCGUUUUGGGCCACUCAACUCCAGAGGGCAGCCCGCUGCCAUGUCACGAAGAUACCCAAGCAGCUCAAGAAACCAUGGCUUCCUGUCCACAAUCAGCACCAGCUUUCCAGACAAGCCGUCUUGCACGUGGAUCCUCCGACCCCAGUCAAGCCCUCGGAUAUCCCUCACUCUGGCCAACUUCUUGACUGCAGCCACGUGGGAGAGCCCAGGCCGAACCAUCCAGCCAGACCCCUCCAGUUUCUGACUCACAGAGACAGUGAGAGAUAAGAAAACAUCGCUGGUUUUUAAGCCUUAAAAUAAUAAAAGUUAAUCCCUUUUUAAGCCUCUAAAUUUGGAGGCCAUUUGUAGGUCCCCAAAACUUGUCCUCUGGAGAAAGAAUUCGGCAAAGAGCCUGAGGGUAGUGAGCAGAUAAGUGCAAGAGAGAAGAGAGAGAAGAUAGGGGUGGCGAAGCACAGACAGGCUCUGCGGGGGGUGUGCAGAGAGACAGAGGGAGAAAGAGCCAGAGCGGAAGAGGUCGCACCUGCUCUCGAGGUCACGUCCAUCACUUGUGUGGGGGCGGUCCUUCCGGGCUCCCUCUGGCCAAUCAUCUUGCUUCGUCUGGCCUUGAGCCCCACCCCCCGCCCCCCAUCCUUUGGCCUGACGCAGGGCCCUCCCCUGCGUGUGCGCCCCUCUUUCAGCCACGAUGGAUUCCACCCCCAGGGUUCCUGGGAGGUGGACGCGAUGUACUGGGGUCUGGUGCCCCCUCCCUUCUCUGACCCCCGAGGAACCUCCUGCGAGUGUGUAGUUCCCGAGGUCUCCUUGACCUCAGGAAUGAGAACGGGGUGGCCGCUAUCUUUUGUCCACGCAGGACGCUCCUCCUUGCUCCUGCUAGAAGUCUUUCUCUUGAAGCAUCUGCUCACAGGGAUGAGGUGACAGGUGCACGGCCUGGGACCCGUCUAUUUCCUGCCUCAGCAGUAACUCAUACAUCAUCUGCGCCGUCCCCACUUCUCCUCUCCUUUCCCUGGUGGGUGGUGUUUAGGACCAGGGGCCUGCGUGACCUUGGUGGUGAAGGUGAAGCCUCCUGGGUCUGCAUGGUGUCCUUGACACCCUCCAGGUCUCUCUGAUGACCCAGAUAGGGAUGGGGUGCUGACCGGAUCCGGUCCCGGCCGACAAAGACUCUGUACGUGACUUCUGUGGUCUCUUCUCGUGGCUCAGGCAGGGUCCGUGGUUCCCCGUGACUUGUGGAGUCCAUUCAGCUCCUGCCAGCCCUGCAGACCCCUCCUCUGGGGGUAGCUUGUCCUUCCUGGUCAAUGUCUGACCUGGAAGUUCUUCCUUGUAGCUCUAGGGGUUACCAGUCACCUCGCAGUGGUGACAGCCACCUUCCCAGCAGAUGGUUGAGCAGCUGCCUUGGCUGCUUUUCUUGUUCUGGAUCCUCGCAGGACCCGUGAGCACCAAGCGAGGCUCUGGUCGCUUCCCCAGGCUUUCGCCCUAACAGCACCACGCUGGUGCUGUAGCUCCUUACGCAAGACAGUCCCUGGCCGGCUGGUGGGUCUAGUUACACGACCCUUGUGGUUUGCUCCAGUGCCUCUGCCUCUCCCCUUCCUGCACUGGGCAAGGGCCUCGGACAGGGCUUCCGCUUCUGUCUGGAGCUCCUUUUCUGCCACAUCGGCCUUCCUCCCUCGGGCAGUAAACCUCCCGGCCGGGCAGUCGUGGGCCUGGCAGUCGCGGGCAGGAAUAGCUUCUCUAAGCUGUAGGAGAAACUGGAGCAGGUCUGCCUGGCUGUGCUCUUGAUGAGGGAGCAGAGAGAAACUAGACUGCCAAAGAUGAAAAUAUAGGGAUUUCAUAUGCCCAAUUUAUUAUCCCUGUUAGCCAUUAUUUUUGAUUGAAGUGUACAGUAUCUUUUUUCCUGUCAAUAAGCAAACUACCAGAGUUCCCACUGUGGCUUAGCAGAAACAGAUCCGACUAGUGUUCAUAAGGAAACAGGUUCAAUCCCUGGCCCUGCUCAGUGGGUUGGGGAUCUGGCUUGGGGGGAUAGCAGCUACAGCUACAGCUGGCCAGCAGCUACAGCUCCAAUUCGACCCCCUAGUCUGGGAAUUUCCAUGUGCUGCAGGUGCGGCCCUAAAAAGCAAGCAAACCACCAAACAAAAAUAAGCAAACUACACACACACACACACACACAAAACACAGACAUACACAUUCAGGGAACCAGUUCAAACUGGAACCAUACCAGCACAUUUUCUUGAACAAGUUUGUCCCAAAGAACUAAAUCUAGAAUUGAAAUCAUCUUUAAACUGAUUCUGAACUUAACUGUAAAUCUUUCCGUUCCAAACCCCACAUCUCAGGUCGUAGUGGCGUGGGGACAGUCAGGAGGCACGUGACUCACAGCAGAAGUGGACACCUCUGCUCUUCUGUUUCGCCCAUGUGUUUGAAAAUAUUUGAUCAUAACCAUCUUUUUAAAAUUUUCUGGUCACGCCUGUGGCAGGUCUAAGUCCCUGGGCCAGGGGUCAAACCUGCACCACAGCAGUGAUAACACCCACCAGAUCGUUAACCUGCCAAGGGGCCAGGGAACUCCGCAACCACCUUUUUAAACAAUUACACUGGUUUAGUAUAUGCGUGGCACUAUUGUUUUUUUCAUGGCCCACAUUUCAGGAACUGCUCCUUUAGAGUCCUCUGCUCACAGGGCUCAUGAGGGAAAAAGUUAGCAACUCUGAAGGAAUCUUUUGGCUCCCCGUUUUCACCUUUUAAAUGGCACCGUGCCCGCUCCAAACGGUUGUUGUCACGUUCCAUGAGAACAUGAAGGACGCAUGUUUGUAAGCUGUGUCUUCUAGACCCGGGGCUGCCAAUCAGCAACCUCGGGGAGGAAAGCAGCCCUGAGAUGUCUUGUUUGGUGUGGGCAGAGUUGUUUUCGUUUCUGUGCGUUUGAAAGCAUCUAGAUUGUACAAGUUCACUUUUGUUUUUGUUCUGUCUUUUUAGGGCCGCACCCGCGGCGUAUGGAAAUUCCCAGGCUAGGGGUCGAAUCAGAGCUGUAGCCACCAGCCUACCCCACAGCAACAGCAAUACUGGAUCCGAGCCACAUGUGUGACCUACACCACAGCUCACGGCAGCGCCAGAUCCCUAACCCACUGAGCAAGGCCAGGGAUCGAACCUGCAUCUUCAUGGUUCCUCGUCAGAUUUGCUUCUGCUGAGCCACGACGGGACCUCCCGGAUUGUACAAGUAUUCUGUUGUCAUUUUUCUUACAAGGCUUACAGAUACAGUCAGUACUGUGUUACAGGGGCUAUAAGAAAGUCUGGGCCCAGUGAUGGGAAGGAUGGGAAGGGGGAAAUGGCCAUUUUUAUCUGGAAGGAUCAAGAAAGAAUUCAUUAGACUAUGACACGUGACUUGAAUGUGGAAAGCUAAGGCAGGGUUUGCCUGGAAGCACCAAUCUGAAGGACACUGUAGGAGAGAGCAGUGUUACGGAGGCCAAGUUUUAAAAAAAUAUAAAAAAGGGAGAAUUUCAUUUAAAAAAAAAAAUGAGUGUGUGUGGGUAGGAGGGCUGUGGAUAAUAGAGCCAAGUAUUUGAGGAAGAAGAAGUAAAGUGAGCCCUGAGAAAGCGUUCUCCUGGAUUUCUAAUAGAAAGUUUAUCAUUGAGAACCUCUGUCUGGUCAAGGCAGGGUCCAUGGGGAGCUGGGGACAGGCCAGGACAGCAGAAUUUCAUGGUCAAAAAUGGGGAGGUGGGGCGUUCCUGUUGUGGCUCAGCAUGUUACCAACCUGAUUGGUAUCCUUGAGGGUGCAGGUUCGAUCCCUGGCCUCGCUCAGUGGGUUAGGGAUCCAGCGUUGCCAUGAGCUGUGGGGUAGGUCACAGACAUGGCUUGGAUCUGGCGUUACCAUGGCUGUGGCUGCGGAGGAGGCUGGCAGCUACAGCUCUGAUUUGACCCCUAGCCUGGGAACUACCAUAUGUCAUGGACGCAGCCUCAAAAAGCAAAGAAAAAAAGAUGCAGAGAUGAAAUAUAGACUGAUCUUCUUAAGGGCUUUGUCAUUAAGGGAAGAAGCGAUACAGGCUGUUGCUAAUGCAGAGUGGCCCGUCUUCUUUAAAAAGGAGAGAUUUGAGCAUGUUUGUUCGCUGUGGCAAAGGAGCCAGUGGAGAGGGAGGGGCUGAAAAUGCAGAAUGCCUAGCGGAGCCCCCUCUGGGAGGCAGGAGGCGGGCAGGCUCAGGGAGAGCUCGCAGUGCACCUGUGGGCACAGGGGCUGGGGGUUGAGUUGGGCUAAGCGUGGUGUCUGGUGAGCAGGACUCGUGGAAGGACAGAGGGUGAAGGUCACUGAGUGACAGGAGAGGCACUGGAGGAUCUAGGGUCUGAGUAGACUCGAGACCCUCGACUGGGUGGGAAAGUGCGUAGGGCUGUGAAAGGCACGGGAUGGCCUCAGUGAAAACCUGCAGCUUCAGGUUCGUAUGUGGAAGCCCAUCCACGGUCACAUGCACUUCAGUCGCAUUUGGGGGCCCCCCCAAGCUCCUUCACACCCACGGGCCUUCGCUAGACCCUAUUGGAGCAAAAGAGAAGCAACAGUGCGUUUCCCACGUGGGACAGAGUUCUCUGGUUUCCUCUCCCUUUUUGAGCCAUCAGAACACCAUCUCCUUCACACAAAGCAUAAAUAGUUUCAAAAGAUGUCACUGGGACAAUGACAUAGCAGCAUCUUAGCUCCUGAAGUCAUGGACGUUCAGCGUGAGCUGGACCUUGGGGCCUGGAUUUCCUCAGGCCUCUCCCACACCUGUGCGUGGAUGUGGUCCCAGCAGUAGCACCUGGGGUUCUGCGGGCUCAUGACGACCUCGUGUGUGACACCUGCAGGACCCCAGCCUCCCCGGUGACAGCACCGUGGCCCUCACAGCCUCUGCUGUGGACUGCGAACAGUCCUUCCAGAUUCCGCACCAAGUCCCCUGUAAGCCCUUGCGCUGCCAAGGCGACAGCAUGCUGCUUCAGUCCCACCAAGCAGAGGUGGGGAAAGCACCCCCACACACUGCCUGCCACUGUGUCACCUGGGCUCUGAAGCAAGUGCCUCAGGGAGACGGACCCCUGCCCCGACCCCUCUCUCUUCAGAAGUUCCAAUGAGCCUGGGGUCAGACCACAUCUGCUCCCCCCGUAUUUCCUCUCUCUUCCCACGGAUUCCCACGUCCAAAGCCUCCUCCUGGUGGGUUUCCUGUCCCUCAAGACACUCGAACCCUCGAAUAGACUCCGAAGUCUCCUGGCCCACGGGUCACCCCACAGGAUGACUCUGAUCUCAUCCCAGGCUUCUCUGGACACCGCUGCUAAUUUCCUAGAGCAAGUGGUGCAGAUGUGCCUGCGGCCUCUUAAGUUGCCCUUGCCCUGCUCUGCAGCAAAUCCUCUCUGUGGGCCGAUCUAAUAGGUGCAAUUUUUUUUUUCUUUUGCCAGUGUACCUUUUCCAUGCUUGAGGAUUUUAAUUUGAUUAUUCGUUAAGUGUCUGGCUGCCCCUGAUAAAUCCAGUCCGAAGAAGGAGCUGGAAGCAGGAAGGGCAAAGGCAGGGGCGAGGAGGGAGGAUCUUGAGACCCGGUUCUGCUGUCCGAUGACGCUGCCAUAACCACGUUCCCCGGUUUGGGGGCUCCGGCAGUGGAAAUGUACUAGCUCAGCGCGCCGGAGGCCGGAAGCCUGAGAUCGAGGUGUGGGCAGGGUUGGCUGCGCCCGGGGCCUCUGUCCUGGGCUUGGAGACGGCCGUCUUCCCCGCAUCCUCCCGUCGUCUUCCUUCCUUCCUUCCUUCCGUGUGUGUGUGUGUGUGUGUGUGUCCUGAGCGCCUCUUCCUCCAAGGACACCAUCAUGCAUCUUAGCUCAUUUCGCCUCACUUCCUUCUUUAAAGGCUCUACUUCCAAAUGCAGUUACAUUCCGAGUUACCCGGCACAGGACCUGGACAUACGCAUUUGAAGGAGACGCAAUUUCACCAUAACUCCGGCCCUGUGGAGUCAAGAGACGGCAAGGGCAUUGAAGCAGGACCUGCCUGUGAGACCCCGAGCUCUAUGGGCUGAGGGGGCCUCCCUGGGGCGGGGCCGGCAGAGCUUGGUGAUGUGCGCUGCCCUCCUCUCACGGGACCCAGUGCCAGGCCAUCGUGGGCAGAACGGAAGGCAUCUAUGCCACAUUCCAACGAGGGAUUUGGAAAAUCCCGUGGAAUCAUGAGCUUUUAUUAAUUGAAGGCUUCCCAAAGACCUGUCUACCUUGAUCAAACAGAUGACUCUCUCUUCGUGACCACAGGGAGCCCUCAGGGACAGGAACUGGCUCCUGGACAUCCAUGACCUCAAGGCUCGAGACCAGAAAGACAAAAUGUUCGCACAGAUGCAGAACAAAAGCAUCAUUCAUGGUGAUGGCAUCACUGAAACUGUCAGACAGGAAGAUUACCAAGGGUUUGGCGUGAGUGGGGAAAUGUAAAUGAAAAUUUGAAAACCGUAUCUGGACCGUAUUCUCAUUUAAGGACUGGAAAUACCAACUAGAACCUAUUGAUUUAUGGUGCUAACUUUAUUGUUUUAUCCAAAAAAAAAAAAGUGUCUAAGGUUUUCUCAGAUUCCCCUGAGAUCUUGGUGCCCAAACUCUAAACUCUAUUUUCUUUAUGAAGACUUGAGUCCCAAAAGGGCACGUGUUCCUGGGUGACUACGGCGGGGAAAGGGCUCUGUGUGCAUUUCGAGGUCGAAGCCCAAGAUGCUGUUUUGGGGGAGAGGGAGUCACAGCCUUGAGAUAGACGGUCUCUUUCCUGGUUUAUAGCUCAGCGCGUUAAGAUACACAUAUUUCAUUUUAACUUCAGGAUCAAUGUACAGUGUCUUCAAGCACACCAAGUGCUUCGAAGGGAUGUGCGCCAGGAUCACCUUUCUGGUGGUGAAACAUGGGUACUCCUUGCACUUGUCAUGGCCCCGACGUGCUAAUCCAGGAUUCCCUCAUCACUCAGUACAUUUUUAUUAAGGACCUGCUGUGUCCUAAGGACUGCGUCAUCCGCUGCGAACACAAGGCCCCUCCCCCAGGGAUUUAUAGCGGGUUAAGUGCCCGGGUGCCCUAACAGGGAGGCACUGGGGGGCGGGAGGGAUGACACGGAGAGCCAGGUGGGGUGUGAUGGAGAGGUAAGCAGAAGCCAAGGGGUGCCAAGUGUAGCC